rnacentral:lncRNA from 10 species
AGGCAGGACUGAGAAGACGAGAGGUGGGCUUCGUUCCUGAGAAUAUCCAGGAGUCCAAGAGAUCUAAAUUGGAAGAUGGCCUUCCAAUUUAGGUCAGUUUCCAAUUAAGAAGGCCAGGUUUUUAUGAAGCAAUAUUUGUCAAGGCAUGGACAUUCACUUUUGCAGAUGAGGAAACAAGAAUUCAGAGUUGAUUUGCACAUACGAAGCAAAACAAGUGAGAUCCAAGCCUCCAGACUCUACAACAGAUGCUUCCAAUAUCUAUGUCUAAUGAAG